CUGAUUACUCGUAUUUUACAAAGAAAAUAUUAUUAAAAAAACCUCUUUGUUUAAUUUCUUCCCUUUACCGAUCCUCAAAAUUAAAAUUGCUUUUGAGUGUCUCUAAUAUGAAUAUUUGAUGAUUUUCUAAAUUUGGGUAUCAUAUAUCAUUCAAACUGUCUUUCUUUAUAAAGGAUUUAAUCAAAGGAGGUGAGAAGAUUAGUCAGGACACAAGGAACUAUAUCUGUUCCCGUCUAUAUUUGUUCUUGUUAGAGAGAUUAAUCAAAGCAAGAACUCAGAAGGGAGAAGAGUAUUUUUUUGAAAGGGAACAAUUGUAACCCAGUACUUUGAAGAUCUUUGUACAAUUUAUUAUUUUCUUCUAUAUUCUCUUUUGUCAUUAAAGAAUACCCCCUCCGUAUUUAUUUAAGAGAUACACUUGGUCGGGCACGUGUAUUAAGAAAAAGAAUUGAAUGAAAUAAAGUAAUAAAACAAGUGGGGUUGAGUAAUAUUUUAAUAAGUAAAACAAGUGUGUAACAUGUCAUUUUAGGGGAUUGAGGGUGGUGAUGGGUGUAGAUAGAUUAUUUAAUUAGAUGGUGGGGUUGAUAAGUUACUAAAAAUGACAAGUGUAUCUCUUAAAUAAAUACGGCCGGAAAAGGCAAGUGUAUCUCUUAAAUAAAUACAGAGAGAGUAUUAUUUAUUUGCAAUUUUCAAUUAUAUGAAAAUUCAAUUAUAUGAAAAUUCAAUUACGAAGUAGAUACUUUAAUAUGUUUAUUUUUUCCGUAUAAUUUAUAUUCCACUUUUACAGAUUGAGUAUGUAGAUAUGUAAUUAUUUUAUGGAAAUAGUGGGAACCAUAUAUGGAGUUAAUAUCCCAAAAAGGGUGGUGUGUUUCUGCUAAAUAUUACUCCCUCCGAAUCUAAAUAUUAUUCCUGUUUUUUUUUUAGUGUCCCAAAAUAAUCUUCCCAUUUCUUUUAUUUCCUUUUAAUUUCUUCCUUGUAACUUUAACUUUGUAAUUCUAUUGGUUUAUCAAUAAAAAAUCUUGUAGUGUCA